rnacentral:rRNA from 1 species
AACGAACGCUGGCGGCAGGCUUAACACAUGCAAGUCGAGCGCAUCCUUCGGGGUGAGCGGCAGACGGGUGAGUAACGCGUGGGAACGUACCCUUUCCUACGGAAUAGCUCCGGGAAACUGGAAUUAAUAUCGUAUACGCCCUUAGGGGGAAAGAUUUAUCGGGGAAGGAUCGGCCCGCGUUGGAUUAGCUAGUUGGUGGGGUAAAGGCCUACCAAGGCGACGAUCCAUAGCUGGUCUGAGAGGAUGAUCAGCCACAUUGGGACUGAGACACGGCCCAAACUCCUACGGGAGGCAGCAGUGGGGAAUAUUGGACAAUGGGCGCAAGCUUGAUCCAGCCAUGCCGCGUGAGUGAUGAAGGCCUUAGGGUUGUAAAGCUCUUUCAGUAGGGAAGAUAAUGACGGUACCUACAGAAGAAGCCCCGGCUAACUUCGUGCCAGCCGCCGCGGUAA